rnacentral:rRNA from 1 species
UACGUAGGUUGCAAGCGUUGUCCGGAAUUAUUGGGCGUAAAGCGCGCGCAGGCGGUCCUUUAAGUCUGAUGUGAAAGCCCACGGCUCAACCGUGGAGGGUCAUUGGAAACUGGGGGACUUGAGUGCAGAAGAGGAAAGUGGAAUUCCACGUGUAGCGGUGAAAUGCGUAGAGAUGUGGAGGAACACCAGUGGCGAAGGCGACUUUCUGGUCUGUAACUGACGCUGAGGCGCGAAAGCGUGGGGAGCAAACAGG